ensembl:lincRNA Gm43479 predicted gene 43479
GAGUUAGUUAGACCUGACCCGGAAAGAGCACGAUGGGGCUGGGGAUUUACAACGGACAGGAUCUGAAGUACCCUGGGCCGGCCUUGAACCUAUGAAGUAGCUGAGGAUGACCUUGAACUCUUUGUCUUCCUUCCUCAACCUAGUACUACAGGGCUGUUCCUUCAUGCUGAGCUUUAAACUGUGCUGGGGAUUGAACCCAGGGCCUUAAGCACAUAAGGUGAACACCUUUUCAUCUGAGCUUCAGUGACAGCCCCUAAAUAUUAUCCCUCGUGACUUUUUUUUUUUAGCCAUAAGAGGUAGAACUGAAGAAAAUGCACGACAGUCCUCCUACUGCAAUUACCCUUCAUCUCACAGAACUGAAAGUUCAUUUCAUUUUUCUAUGAUUACUGCAAGUCAUCUCAGUAGACCUUUGGAUCUCUGCAAACCUCAUCUAGGAGACUGUGCUAUGUAGUAUGAAUGUAGUAGAGAAAGCACUAGGUUCUAAAUUUUUUAAAUUUGGUUUGUUUGCUUCUCAAGACAGGAUUUCUCU